rnacentral:rRNA from 1 species
CCUACGGGCGGCAGCAGUGGGGGAUAUUGCACAAUGGAGGAAACUCUGAUGCAGCGAAGCCGCGUGAGGGAAGACGGUCUUCGGAUUGUAAACCUCUGUCUUUGGGGAAGAAAAUGACGGUAUCAACAGAGGAAGCUACGGCUAACUACGUGCCAGCAGCCGCGGUACUAUGUAGGGAGCGAGCGUUGUCCGGAAUUACUGGGUGUAAAGGGAGCGGAGGCGGGUGAGAAAGUUGAAUGUUAAAUCUACCGGCUAAACUGGUAGCUGCGUUCAAAACUUCUUGUCUUGAGUGAAGUAGAGGCAGGCGGAAGUCGUAGUGUAGCGGUGAAAUGCGUAGAUAUUAGGAGGAACCCCAGUGGCGAAGGCGGCCUGCUGGGCUUUAACUGACGCUGAGGCUCGAAAGCGUGGGGAGCAAACAGGAUUAGAUACCCGGGUAGUC